CCUACGGGGGGCAGCAGUGGGGAAUAUUGGGCAAUGGGCGCAAGCCUGACCCAGCAACGCCGCGUGAAGGAAGAAGGCUUUCGGGUUGUAAACUUCUUUUCUCAGGGACGAAGCAAGUGACGGUACCUGAGGAAUAAGCCACGGCUAACUACGUGCCAGCAGCCGCGGUGAUACGUAGGGCGCACGCGUUAUCCGGAUUUAAUGGGUGUAAAGGGCGUGUAGGCGGGACGGCAAGUCAGAUGUGAAAGCCAUGGGCUCAACCUGUGGCCUGCAUUUGAAACUGUUAUUCUUGAGUACUGGGGAGGCAGACGGAAUUCCUGGUGUAGCGGUGAAAUGCGUAGAUAUUAGGAGGAACACCAGUGGCGAAGGCGGUCUGCUGGACAGCAACUGACGCUGAGGCGCGAAAGCGUGGGGAGCAAACAGGAUUAGAUACCCGUGUAGUC
rnacentral:rRNA from 1 species